rnacentral:rRNA from 1 species
GGAGGAUGCGAGCGUUAUCCGGAUUUACUGGGUGUAAAGGGCGUGUAGGCGGAGCUGCAAGUCAGAAGUGAAAUCUCCGGGCUCAACCCGGAAACUGCUUUUGAAACUGUAGCCCUUGAGUAUCGGAGAGGCAGGCGGAAUUCCUAGUGUAGCGGUGAAAUGCGUAGAUAUUAGGAGGAACACCAGUGGCGAAGGCGGCCUGCUGGACGACAACUGACGCUGAGGCGCGAAAGCGUGGGGAGCAAA